rnacentral:pre_miRNA from 1 species
UCUUAUGGAUGAGCAAAGAGAGUGGUUUCCUGAGACAGAAUCUACUCCUAGUGGAGAUACUGUGAA